rnacentral:tRNA from 1 species
GGGUUCGUAGCUCAGUGGGAGAGCACCUCCUUGACGCGGAGGGGGUCGCAGGUUCAAUCCACCGGAUACA